ACUCACACAGGGCUCACAGUCAACAGGAAGAGAGAGCACACAGAGAGAGACCAGUAGACACAGACAGAGAUAGUGACCAUUAGAGAAAGAGGAGAAAGAGGAGAGAGACCCCGGUGCUGUGAUUGACUCAUCAAGGCAGUAGAGGAAGGAUGUGGGUCCUCAUCUGAGCAGCUCUACUUCUCUCUCUGACAGAGUGAGCCACGUGCAAAAAUGAGGCCCCUGCAGCAGCAUACAACAUUGCCUUCAGUCCAGCAGAGAUAACACCACAGACUGGACUAUGUGCUGUUAUUCCAUGUUCGUUCACUCACCCUGAUGACUUCAUUCCUCGCAUAGCAAUAUGGUUUAAAUGCCCUGAUGCACAAUGUUCUAUUAAAGUCGAAAUGGACACAAUUUUCCACUCAAAAAAUGCAUGUAAAGCUCAGGAGGGUUAUAGAAGGCGAGUGUCCCUACUGGAGACAGACCUGACAAAGAAGAACUGCAGUAUGAUCAUCAACGACAUCACUAAGACUGAUGCUGGAGACUAUCAACUAAGACUGUCCGGAACAUUGAACACUGGAAAUAGAAAUAAAUGUACAUCCCGAGAGAAAAUGAAAAUUGCAGUGAAAGAAGCCCUCAGUGUUGACUCCUCCUCUGACAGAGGGAGAACCAGCUACUCUGACCUGCACGCCCCAGGGAUCUGCUCUGGAACUCCUCCUAACAUCACAUGGACAUGGAGAGGGACAGGAGACAACAUCACUGAGCUCAGAGACAACACCACUAUACAAAAGAGAGAGGAUCUCACCAGCGUCACAACAACCCACUUCUCAACUUUCACCUUUACACCUUCAGUUGAGCACCACACCACCAAGGUCACGUGCCAAGUGACAUUCAAAGGGAACAUCACAACUGAAGAUACAGUGACUUUGAAUGUGACUCAUGUGAAGGAACCCAAGAUCUCUGGUAGUAACACAGUGAGAGAGGGUGAUACCCUGAAUCUGACUUGCUUUGUUGACAGCUACGCACCACCACGAUCUAUCACCUGGAUUAAGAAUGGGACAACAGCUUUGGAACAGAAUAGCUCUGGACUGGGCGCUCUCACCAUCUCUAACAUGACAAGAGAACAAGCUGGGGAGUAUGUGUGUAAAGCUCAACACCUCAACAGGACUUUGACAGCUUCCAUUGUUGUCACUGUGAUGUGUGAGUACAAACAAUACUGUACAAACCUGACUGAAAAUAGCUUGAAACAUGUUUACUUUAAAUUGUCCAUGACAUAUCUUCCCCCUCUGUCUCUCGUUAGAACAUCCUGUGAUUCUCAAUGCUUCUGGGUGUGUCAUCCAGGCAAAGGUCAUGACCUGUGUGUGUGUCAGUCAGGGGGUUCCCUUACCUCUCAUAGGCUGGCUUAACACUGAGGAGUACUGCCUCACUAAAUCAGUGUUGAGGUCCUCAGUGAACACCACCGUCAGGAUGCAUGUCAGAAACCACACCAACACUACUGUGGAGUGUGUCAGCAUAAAUGAAGUGGGCAGAGUGAGAGAUAAGCUGCAAGUCACCCAUAAAGAGAGCCAAGGAAAGCAAGGAGAGGAGGUAUCUAAAGACAUCUUGGCUAUGCUGUUGAACCCACCACUGAUUGCUGCAUUUGCGAUUGGUGCAGCCUUCUCAGCCACCAUCUGUUGUAUCUUCCUGUGUUUGACAGGGAAAUGUAAAAGAUGCAAAGAGAGGAUCCCAAAGGACUCAGACUCCAAAAGCCCUUUAACGAACCUGGAGAUGGUGGCAUGUGAAGACCAACAGACGGAUGCAGGACGGGCUGUGCGGGGCAAACAGACCCCUCUACAGGUGGUGCUGAUGGAGGGAGCUGAAAACACAGGACCCCAGACCAGUGGAGCUGCAGGAAACUCUGCCAAAGGGGAAGAACCAAAAGAUGUGCACUACGCCGCUAUCAACUACUCCCAACUGAAGAAGACUCCUGAGGAGGCAGAGAAGAAGACCAUCACCACAGAGUACGCCAAAAUCAAACGAGAGAAGAAGAAAGAAAGAAAGAAAGAAAGAAAGAAAGAAAGAAAGAAAGAAAGAAAGAAAGAAAGAAAGAAAGAAAGAAAGAAAGAAAGAAAGAAAGAAAGAAAGAAAGAAAGAAAGAAAGAAAGAGGAUGGAGGAGAGGGGUGUAGUGAUGAUGGGGAAGGAUUAGGAGAAAGAGAACGGUAAACCAGCAGAAGAGACAGAUGCGGAUACUGCACUUUACUCUAACGUCAAGGCUAUUAUGGGUGGUGGUGAGUGACAAAGAAAUUUUCGCUAGAAACGUGGGGGAUAGCAUACAGUACUAUAUAGCCAUGUAUUCUUAUAUAAUUUUCAGAAUCCAGAUUGAAUGUUUUAUGUUGAUACUGGGACUUUUGUUCAACUGAAACUACUGUAGUUAAUCAUUUUGGUGUUUCCUCGUGCUGAAUCCAGUUUGAAUGUUUUAUGAUAAUACAGAGAUGUUGUUUAAUAACAAACUUCUGUACUUAAUAGUUUUGGAAAAUACUUUAUUUUACAGCCCUGUGUCAGAUGGUACUGUAUGUAUCUGGUGGUUUUAUAUCUUCAAUAAGAAAAUGUUGUAGUUGUACAUAGAAGCAAGCUUUGGUAAUGUUUUUCAAGGAUGUGUCAUUUUACUUUUUUAUUGAUUGUUUUGUCACCAUGGGAAAGGACUGACAAAGAUUUUGAAAAGUAGAGGGGUCAAAACAUUUAUUUUUCUUUCUCUUUCCUUUCAGUUUUGCAUUUUGAUUUGACAAGUGGGUGGGGAUAUUAGUAGUAUGUGUGAUUGUAACCAAUAUAUUUCUGUAAAUAGAAUACUGAUACACUGCAGAAAAUGUUGGCAAAAUGUAAUUAAGAAUUCUCAUUUUGGGGUAGCCAGAGAGCUCAAAUGAAAUGAAUCAAGAAAAAAAGUACAUCAUGCUUUUAAAAGUUGUGUGCUAUAGAGUGGUUGGUUGUUUAGCAACAAAACAGAUGCGUGUACAGCUAUGGUGCAAAACAAACAGGGGUGGCUUAGAUUGUUGACAACAUGUAAACUAUAUUUAGUCUCCAAUGUUUGAAAAUAUAAAUAAAUUUGCUCAUUGAGCACUUGUUGUGAAAUCAAA